rnacentral:rRNA from 1 species
GGAGGAAAGCAGGGGAUCGCAAGACCUUGCGCUCAUUGAGCGGCCGAUGCCUGAUUAGCUAGUUGGUGAGGUAAAGGCUUACCAAGGCGACGAUCAGUAGCUGGUCUGAGAGGACGACCAGCCACACUGGGACUGAGACACGGCCCAGACUCCUACGGGAGGCAGCAGUGGGGAAUUUUAAACAAUGGGGGAAACCCUGAUCCAGCCAUGCCGCGUGAGUGAAGAAGGCCUUCGGGUUGUAAAGCUCUUUCAGCCGGAACGAAACGGUCACGGCUAAUACCUGUGACUACUGACGGUACCGGAAGAAGAAGCACCGGCUAACUACGUGCCAGCAGCCGCGGUAAUACGUAGGGUGCGAGCGUUAAUCGGAAUUACUGGGCGUAAAGCGUGCGCAGGCGGUUUUGUAAGUCAGAAGGGAAAUCCCCGGGCUUACCCUGGGAACUGCAU